AUUUUCAUGUGUUUCAGGUUUUAAGAAUCCCUAUUCAAUAUAACAGAUUUUCUAUUCCUGAAACACAGAAAUGUAUAAGGCAUUGUUAGCUAUAAGAUGAGCAAAUUAUUUUAAAAACAAUUACAUGAACAACAGUUGCUGUGUUACAGAUGUAAUGUCUUAAGGUUGGAUAAUGCAAAAUGUUCAACUCCACCCCUAAAACUCCAGUGAACCAGGAACAUAUCAGUGGCAUCUGACUAACUCGCAUCUUGCUUUUCGCUUUUUGAGCUUGGAGUUUACCACUUCUCUCGGGGAAUUGUGAUAGCUACAGGGCUGACAGAACACUGAAAAUGAAGAAAUGGAUUAGGCAAGGACUGAAUCCCCACAGACAUCCAAUACUGGAGAAUGAAAAACUUCAAGGACCUUGACACAAACCCUCAAAACAGGUUAAAUAAGUAUCAAUAUUUAGCAAUAAAUGUAGACUGCAUGCAUAUCCUUCUUUGUAGGUUUAUGUAUUUUUGUUGCUGCUUUUAUAAACCAAGAAAAGUGCUGUGCUGCUGUGAAUUUACUUCUUUUUCCUUAUGGAGAGCAUAAGGGCCAGUUAAUUUUGGCACACUGUAACUUCAAUAUGUUUCCUUUUUAUUCAUAGCAUUUAUGCUGCCUGAUUUUGCUCCUUAAUCCAAAUCCAAUUCUUUUGGAGGAAGCUGGAGCUAUUAUACAGCAAAACUGAUACAGCUGUCCUUGUUUAGUGUUACAGUUAUGUUUAUUCCCAGUGAAGCAGAUUCCAAAUGAUGCAUAUUUUUUUGAAAAAAUAAUCAAGAAAUCAUUGCAUACCACUGCACAGUUUUAUGGGGGGCCAUCUUACUCUUAGGGAUCAAUUUAUGAAUUUUUAUUUUUUUAUUAAACGUUUUUUUCACAAUUGAGAUGCAGUUUUUGUACAAAACUUGUAUAUUUAGCAAGUCCUGAAAGGCAGUCACUAUAUAUUUAUAUAGCCAAAUAUUUUAUCUUUUAUGAUGCAGUGUUUCUAUAAACACAUAGAAGGCCACAUCUUCUGUAUAAAUGGGAAAUAUACAGCCACUCUAUUCAUUUAAAUCAAAACUUAGGGGCAGAUUUAUCAAUAUGUGCAUUUAGGGCUUAAUACAUGUGCAUGUGCACAGGGAGCAAAUAUUGGCAUGAAAAUGCAUACUUUUGCGUUUCCACGCUGAUAUCUGCUUUGUUGUGUGUCUGCAAAAAAGCCCUGUGUGCCAUUAGCCUCAGGCACAUUUAGUUUCAUGUUUUAUUUGGCCUUUCAGAUGCUUUAUUUUUAACCAAAACUUUGCCUGUACUGUAAUGUAUUCUUCAGUGAACCUGAAAUGUAAGAUAUGCUCUGUUUUUAUUUAAUAUGGUAUCAAGAGUCAGAACUGGAUUUGUUUUGUUAACCCAAAUGAUGAAUUACUUAAGUACUUGAUUACAAUUCUUAAGAUUAGAAUGCUAUAUGUUUUGCAUUACACUACUCUAAAACAGCUAAUUUAUACAUUUUGUUUUCCAGAAAAAAGAAUAAUUGAUAUUUUCCAUGCUUUAGUAUAGAACCAUAUGGAACUUGACAAUAACUGCUCUUAUUUUGUCUCUCCCAAUAAGUAAGGCAUGCAACUCCUCAAACAUCGUAUGGUCCAGGAGCCAGGAAUAGCCAGCCUGCUGCUCUACAGGUUUUGUGGAUUUGUGAUUUCCACAGAGCUGUCUUUGAAGUGGUUCUAGCAUGAGCUACUGUACUUGCUUCCUGGUGGACUGCCCUGCUCUGUCUUGGGCCCACAGAGCAAAAGCUGCUGCCUGUCCAUGUUUGAUAUCUAAGAGUAUUUAGUGUCUGUGUUUUAAAUUAAAUAAUAAAGGAAAACAUUUUAAAUCAUGUGAGUGUAAAGUUAUUCUUUAUUGUUACACAUGAGCGAAUACAGCAAAAAGACAACAGCUACAUAUAUGUUCUUUCACCACAAGAAUCCAUCAAAAAAAACUUCAGUGUCCAAAAGGUAUGGAUUAAAUACGUACAACAUAGAUUGUUUCUGCUUUUGGCUAAAUAUUUUGGAUUAGCUUAUUAAUAACUAGAAAUUGUUAUUAUGUUCCGUUAUAGGCUUAUACUGGCAGGAUUUUCAGGGCAAGGCUGCACAAAUGAUUGGCUUUCAUCCCCUGGUAACAUCUUAAAUCUUGAACUAGAUGAACCGGAUAUGGCGUAUUUUGUUUUCUCUGACAUUUUAAGAAGCUUUUGUCUGAAGUCCAACCACUUUUCACUGUUAACUCAUUUUAUCAUUAUUGUUAUAACUAAUAAAGUUGACACUGUUAUCACUGAA